UAGGGAAUCUUCCGCAAUGGGCGAAAGCCUGACGGAGCAACGCCGCGUGAGUGAUGAAGGUCUUCGGAUCGUAAAACUCUGUUAUUAGGGAAGAACAAAUGUGUAAGUAACUGUGCACGUCUUGACGGUACCUAAUCAGAAAGCCACGGCUAACUACGUGCCAGCAGCCGCGGUAAUACGUAGGUGGCAAGCGUUAUCCGGAAUUAUUGGGCGUAAAGCGCGCGUAGGCGGUUUUUUAAGUCUGAUGUGAAAGCCCACGGCUCAACCGUGGAGGGUCAUUUGAAACUGGAAAACUUGAGUGCAGAAGAGGAAAGUGGAAUUCCAUGUGUAGCGGUGAAAUGCGCAGAGAUAUGGAGGAACACCAGUGGCGAAGGCGACUUUCUGGUCUGUGACUGACGCUGAUGUGCGAAAGCGUGGGGAUCAAACAGG
rnacentral:rRNA from 1 species